GUGACGCGGACGGGGAGCCGGCCGGGGAGGUGGUUUUCCCUGGUCAAGCGUGUGGCCCCGCCCCCAGGCAAAUCCGGGGGCAUGAUGGGGUGAGGCGUGACGAUGGGGGCCCUUGUGGCCCGAUAUCCGGUGAUCCCGUCGGCCGAGAAAAGCUUCGGCGUGAGGUCUUGGGCCGCUCGUACCCCAAACCGACACAGGUGGUCAGGUAGAGUAUACCAAAGCGAGCGAGCGAAUCCUGGUCAAGGAACUCGGCAAACCGCUCCCGUGCCUUCGGCAUAAGGGAGACCCCCCGCGGUGACGGGCCCUCGCGGCCCCGAGGCGGUGGGGGGUGGCACAAGCCAGGGGGUAGCGACUGUUUACCAAAAACACAGGUGCAUGCCAAGACGCAAGUCGCCGUAUAUGCACUGACGCCUGCCCGGUGCCGGAAGGUUAAGAGGAUCCAUCAGCGCGGCUUGCCGCGCGAAGUGGUGAAUUCAAGCCCCGGUAAACGGCGGUGGUAACUAUAACCAUCCUAAGGUAGCGAAAUUCCUUGUCGGGUAAGUUCCGACCUGCACGAAUGGCGUAACGACUUCCCCGCUGUCUCGACCAGGAGCUCGGCGAAAUUGCAGUACGAGUAAAGAUGCUCGUUAAGCGCAGAAGGACGAAAAGACCCCGGGACCUUUACUAUACCUUGGUAUUGGCAUCAGGUGCGGAUUGUGUAGCAUAGGCGGGAGACUGUGAAGCGCGCACGCCAGUGUGUGUGGAGUCGGCCGGUGAAAUACCGCUCUGUCCCCAUCUGAUGCCUAACCCGGACAAGUGAGCCUUGUCGGGGACAGUGCCUGGCGGGUAGUUUAACUGGGGCGGUUGCCUCCCAAAGAGUAACGGAGGCGCUCAAAGGUCCGCUCGGCCCGGUUGGCAAUCGGGUGUCGAGUGUAAUCGCACAAGCGGGCUUGACUGCGAGAUCGACGGAUCGAGCAGGGACGAAAGUCGGAGAUAGUGAUCCGGUGCCGGCGUACGGACGCGGCAUCGCUCAACGGAUAAAAGGUACCCCGGGGAUAACAGGCUGAUCAUUCCCAAGAGUCCAUAUCGACGGGAUGGUUUGGCACCUCGAUGUCGGCUCGUCGCAUCCUGGGGCUGGAGCAGGUCCCAAGGGUUCGGCUGUUCGCCGAUUAAAGCGGCACGCGAGCUGGGUUCAGAACGUCGUGAGACAGUUUGGUCUCUAUCCUCUGCGCUCGUUGGAAUCCUGAGGAGGCCUGCCCAUAGUACGAGAGGACCUGGGUGGACGAACCUCUGGUAUGCCAGUUGUCGCGCCAGCGGCAUGGCUGGUUGGCCACGUUCGGGAGGGAUAACCGCUGAAAGCAUCUAAGCGGGAAGCCCGCUCCAAGAUAAGGAUUCCUAACCAACCCACGAGGUGGUGGCCGACCCCAGGUAGAACACCUGGUCGAUAGACCGGACGUGGAAGC
rnacentral:rRNA from 1 species